rnacentral:rRNA from 1 species
UACGUAGGGCGCAAGCGUUAUCCGGAAUUAUUGGGCGUAAAGAGCUCGUAGGCGGUUUGUCGCGUCUGCCGUGAAAGUCCGGGGCUCAACUCCGGAUCUGCGGUGGAUACGGGCAGGCUAGAGUUCGGCAGGGGAGACUGGAAUUCCUGGUGUAGCGGUGAAAUGCGCAGAUAUCAGGAGGAACACCGGUGGCGAAGGCGGUUCUCUGGGCAUGUCCUGACGCUGAGGAGCGAAAGUGUGGGGAGGCGAAACAGG